UAGGACCCUUAUAAAAGAGGCCUGAGAGGACGCCGCUUUUUAAGCCCUCCCGAUGUGUGAGGACACACAGGAGCCACCACCCAGAGGAACAGGCCUUUAGCGGACACUGAAUCUGCUGGUGCCUUCAUCUUGGAAUUUCCAGACUCCAGAACUCUGCAGUUACCAUCCUCAAAUACAAAAGUAAUUGAUACUCAGCAAUGAAAGCUGCAUGUGCAUGUAGGGGAGAGAAGGAGGUUUCACCAGACUGACAAAUGGAGUCAUGGUUCUGGGAAGGAGCAGGGUGUUGGGUGCACAUUUGUCACCUGGGAAUACUACCAGCAAGCCUCAUAUUUUUUCUGCAAUAAAUGCUGGAAAGGAAAAAGAAAUGCUGAAAAUGAUGAAAUGGAAGAGCCACUGACAAGGCCUCUUAUUUAAAGAGUGCCUGAAGUGAGGAAGCAAACCCCCAAAUCAUCUGGGAUGGUAUGAACUGAACUCUGGACCGCAACAUGAUGGAAAGGAGGAGCUGGGGUCCCAAGGGCAGUCCAGACAACCUGAACCUGUGACACUCACCCUGCCCACACACUCUCAGAGCUGCAGCUUUCACGGGGGUGACAUGAAUGCUUGUAAAUGAGCUUGCUGAAUGGGAGACCAAGAACGAUGAUAUUGAGCUGUUACUACAUGCCAGACAUUUAACCCUUUCAUCCAGGUUAUCUCAAUCAUUCCUUACAGAAAGGCUUUUGAGAUGUCCUUGCAACUGGAGGUGCCAUAUGAUACAGUUCUGCCCAAAGACAAGAAAGUGAAUGUCUGUUGAGGGCUUCCUAUAAGGCCAAUACAUACAGGUGUUCCCAACAACAGGGAAAACCUUGGCAUCCAGUGAUGAUGAAUCAAUGCUGCUGACAGAUGCAUCGUGUUGGGAUCCCAAUCAUCUAAUUCUUCCAUCAACAGAAAUGACAGGUGCCUAUGUUAAAAAGGGAAGCUGUGAGCAUAAACCUUCAAAGACCUACAGGUAAAAUGUACCCUGCAUUGAAAAUGUUUCUCUAAAUAAACAUUUUAUAAUAUUAAAAUUUUAUAUUAGAGUUUUUG
rnacentral:lncRNA from 10 species